rnacentral:rRNA from 1 species
GUGAGGAAUAUUGGUCAAUGGGCGGUAGCCUGAACCAGCCAAGUAGCGUGAAGGAUGAAGGUUCUAUGGAUUGUAAACUUCUUUUAUAAAGGAAUAAAGUGAGGCACGUGUGCCUUUUUGUAUGUACUUUAUGAAUAAGGAUCGGCUAACUCCGUGCCAGCAGCCGCGGUAAUACGGAGGAUCCGAGCGUUAUCCGGAUUUAUUGGGUUUAAAGGGAGCGUAGAUGGGUUGUUAAGUCAGUUGUGAAAGUUUGCGGCUCAACCGUAAAAUUGCAAUUGAUACUGGCGUCCUUGAGUACAGUUGAGGUGGGCGGAAUUCGUGGUGUAGCGGUGAAAUGCUUAGAUAUCACGAAGAACUCCUAUUGCGAAGGCAGCUCACUAAACUGCAACUGACAUUGAGGCUCGAAAGUGUGGGUAUCAAACAGG